rnacentral:rRNA from 1 species
ACGCGAAGAACCUUACCNCAGGUUUGACAUGCAGACGACGGUUCUAGAGAUAGAAAUUUCCUUCGGGACGUCUGCACAGGUGCUGCAUGGCUGUCGUCAGCUCGUGCCGUGAGGUGUUGGGUUAAGUCCCGCAACGAGCGCAACCCUUAUCACUAGUUGCCAACACGUAAAGGUGGGAACUCUAGUGAGACUGCCCGGGUUAACCGGGAGGAAGGUGAGGAUGAUGUCAAGUCCGCAUGGCCCUUAUAUCUGGGGCUACACACGUGCUACAAUGGUCGGUACAGAAGGCAGCAAAGCCGCGAGGUGGAGCAAAUCCCCAAAGCCGAUCCCAGUUCAGAUUGUAGUCUGCAACUCGACUACAUGAAGACGGAAUUGCUAGUAAUGGCGAGUCAGCAACAUCGCCGUGAAUACGUUCCCGGGUCUUGUACACACCG